rnacentral:lncRNA from 1 species
CUUAGCUACGAAAGGCGCGCUGGUGAAUGCUUCAGCAUUCUUGCUUGGCGCUUUGCAGAUGGAUCAUCUCAUCUGAGAAAGCAUUUAAACCCGAUGGUCCCAUUGGCCAAACUCACUGUCCUGCGGUGUAAAAGGUGCACCCCGAGUUUGGGGGGAACACGCAGGGGAGCUGCCUCCCCCAGCCUGCGGAAGCAGCCGACAGGAAGGAUUUCCUGCAGAAGGCAUCUCCUGGGCCAAGGGUCUCCUGUGGACUGAAAUCAGACUUGAUUGUUCCUAGAUGGAAAAUUCCAUGAGAAACCGAACCAGUUAACAAGUACACCAAACCAUGACUCGUGCUGAAAUGACUGCAGCUCCGGCUUGCUCGGACCCCCCGCUGAGGUGAGUAACUAAGAAAACUGACUUGAUCUGUCCUGUUGAUAGGACUAACACUGUUGCUUAUUUUGCAUACCACCGAUAAACUGUUGCUUAUUUUGCAUACCACCGAUAAUCAACAGACCAGAAGAUGGGGAUAAUGAAAGCCCUUCAGGCUGUAACAGUUCCUUUGGCCUCAGCCCUGGAAUCGCAUGAGGCCAGAGAAAGAGACUUUUGGAUAAAGAGUUUCUGCUUCUCCUCCAGGGGGCCUGAGUCAUUCCGAGGCUGGGGUCCACACUCGGGCCAGAAAGAGAGGAAGUGCUGCUGUGGGCAUGGAGAGAGGAGAAUGGGCACGAGCCUGAGACGAAUACAAAUAUCCGGUUUUCCUCAACAUUCACCAAGUAUCAGCCUCAGCACGCUCUCGGCCAGCCCGGAACCACAACAGAACACCCCACAGUCUCCCUGGCUUCCAGCAACAGAAUCCCAAAAGCUUAGCAGAACUGCCUGUUCUCAUCAUUCCUCUCCUCACAUUCAGGGCAUCAUUACUACCCUUUCCCUAGUUCAAUUUUAACAAAAUUAUAUAUCAGACACGGGCUGGGCACCAAGGAACACAUAAACGCUUCCUCCCCUCAAAGAUCAUUUUAUUGAGUAAAUAU